GACGAACCGAGCGAACGUUGUUCGGAAUCACUGGGCUUAAAGGGCGCGUAGGCGGGCUGCCGCGUCCGGGGUGAAAUCCCACGGCUCAACCGUGGAACGGCCCCGGGUACGGGCGGCCUCGAGGAAGGUAGGGGCGUGCGGAACUGUGGGUGGAGCGGUGAAAUGCGUUGAUAUCCACAGGAACUCCGGUGGCGAAGGCGGUUCUCUGGGCCUGUACUGACGCUGAGGAGCGAAAGCGUGGGGAGCGAACAGG
rnacentral:rRNA from 1 species